UCUAACAGGCAGAGUACUCUACAUUAUAUUGUUUUCUACAGCUUUCUAUUGUAGUGCCUAGGGAGUGCCUAGGGGUAUAUACACAGAAACUGAACAUCGAGCACCAUCUGGCCAGAACGUGGUACAUCGUCACAAGGUCGUUGUUUUUUAAUGCUGUCAAAAGAAUAACAUUAGGCGCGCACCUGCUACUCAGUGAAAUAGCAUGCAUGACGCGCAUACACGCCCCACGCCCUUACAGUGCACGGGCUGCACACAGUGCACGGGCUGCACACAGUGCACGGGCUGCACACAGUGCACGGGCUGCACACAGUGCACGCAGCAAAGAACCUGUGUGUGCUGACGGAUACAAGUGCAACCCCUGCUUACCAUCGUUGGUAUAAGAGGAGUUGCAGCACCAGGACAAUCUGGCGACAAAUAAUAAAAAUAAAACUACCAAAAUAAAACUGGG